CAACAUUAGCAGCAACAGCACAACAGCCGGCAAUCGUUGUUGGUCAGAGUUGGCAGGGCGAUGUCAUUGUCAUGAACGGCAGCUCAGCGACGGCGGCAACUUGGGGCGUUAUGCUGGAGGCAAACGCUCUCCUAUGCUCUCUGCGCUAAGUCUAUCAACACAUGCGUACAAACAAAGUACAUACAAUGGCAGGUCCGCCAAUUGAACAAGCAAAGCAGCUGCUGUUGUUUUGACUGACUGACCGAACGAGCGACUGAGUGACGGAUGUGACAGCAUGCCGGAUUUUUUUGGCCAACGGCGUGGAUUACUGAUUUCGUAAAUUUGUAGCUUGGUCGUAGCUACAUCUCUGCGCUUCGCUUUGCUGAGGGUUUUUACACAACACCCAAAU